AAUGAACGUUGGCGGCAUGGAUUAGGCAUGCAAGUCGCGCGCGAAACGUAGCAAUACGUGGAGAGCGGCGAAAGGGAGAGGAAUACGUGGGAACCUACCUCGGGGCCUGGAAUAGCGGCGGGAAACUGCCGGUAAUGCCAGAUAACGUCUCCGGACCAAAGGUGUGAUUCCGCCUGGAGAUGGGCCCACGUCCUAGCAGCUUGUUGGUGUGGUAAUGGCGCACCAGGGCUAAGACGGGUAUGGGGUGUGAGAGCAUGCCCCCACUCACUGGGACUGAGACACUGCCCAGACACCUACGGGUGGCUGCAGUCGAGAAUCUUCGGCAAUGAGCGCAAGCUUGACCGAGCGAUGCCGCGUGCGGGAUGAAGGCCCUCGGGUUGUAAACCGCUGUCGUAGAGGAGUAAUGGUCAGGGGGUUCUCCCUCUGAUUUGAACAAUUCUAGGAGGAAGGACGGGCUAAGUUCGUGCCAGCAGCCGCCGUAAAAC
rnacentral:rRNA from 1 species